rnacentral:rRNA from 1 species
GACGAACGCUGGCGGCGUGCUUAACACAUGCAAGUCGAACGAAGUGGCGAACGGGUGAGUAACGCGUAAUCAACCUGCCCUUCAGGGGGGGACAACAGUUGGAAACGACUGCUAAUACCGCAUACUGAAGGAGGGGAUUGCGUCUGAUUAGCUAGUUGGAGGGGUAAAGGCCCACCAAGGCGAUGAUCAGUAGCCGGGCCGGUAGGUAGAACCGCCCCAAUGGGAAUGAGACAAGGCCCAGAAUCCUACGGGAGGGAGCAGGGGGGAAAUUUCCGAAAAGGACGAAAGUCCGGCGGAGCAACUCCGCGUGAGUUAUGAAGGCCCUCGGGUUGUAAAGCUCUGUUAAUCGGGACGCGGUACCUGAAUAGUAAGCAACGGCUAACUACGUGCCAGCAGCCGCGGUAAUUC